rnacentral:rRNA from 1 species
AGAGUUUGAUCCUGGCUCAGGACGAACGCUGGCGGCGUGCCUAAUACAUGCAAGUCGAACGAACUCUGGUAUUGAUUGGUGCUUGCAUCAUGAUUUACAUUUGAGUGAGUGGCGAACUGGUGAGUAACACGUGGGAAACCUGCCCAGAAGCGGGGGAUAACACCUGGAAACAGAUGCUAAUACCGCAUAACAACUUGGACCGCAUGGUCCGAGCUUGAAAGAUGGCUUCGGCUAUCACUUUUGGAUGGUUCCCGCGGCGUAUUAGCUAGAUGGUGGGGUAACGGCUCACCAUGGCAAUGAUACGUAGCCGACCUGAGAGGGUAAUCGGCCACAUUGGGACUGAGACACGGCCCAAACUCCUACGGGAGGCAGCAGUAGGGAAUCUUCCACAAUGGACGAAAGUCUGAUGGAGCAACGCCGCGUGAGUGAAGAAGGGUUUCGGCUCGUAAAACUCUGUUGUUAAAGAAGAACAUAUCUGAGAGUAACUGUUCAGGUAUUGACGGUAUUUAACCAGAAAGCCACGGCUAACUACGUGCCAGCAGCCGCGGUAAUACGUAGGUGGCAAGCGUUGUCCGGAUUUAUUGGGCGUAAAGCGAGCGCAGGCGGUUUUUUAAGUCUGAUGUGAAAGCCUUCGGCUCAACCGAAGAAGUGCAUCGGAAACUGGGAAACUUGAGUGCAGAAGAGGACAGUGGAACUCCAUGUGUAGCGGUGAAAUGCGUAGAUAUAUGGAAGAACACCAGUGGCGAAGGCGGCUGUCUGGUCUGUAACUGACGCUGAGGCUCGAAAGUAUGGGUAGCAAACAGGAUUAGAUACCCUGGUAGUCCAUACCGUAAACGAUGAAUGCUAAGUGUUGGAGGGUUUCCGCCCUUCAGUGCUGCAGCUAACGCAUUAAGCAUUCCGCCUGGGGAGUACGGCCGCAAGGCUGAAACUCAAAGGAAUUGACGGGGGCCCGCACAAGCGGUGGAGCAUGUGGUUUAAUUCGAAGCUACGCGAAGAACCUUACCAGGUCUUGACAUACUAUGCAAAUCUAAGAGAUUAGACGUUCCCUUCGGGGACAUGGAUACAGGUGGUGCAUGGUUGUCGUCAGCUCGUGUCGUGAGAUGUUGGGUUAAGUCCCGCAACGAGCGCAACCCUUAUUAUCAGUUGCCAGCAUUAAGUUGGGCACUCUGGUGAGACUGCCGGUGACAAACCGGAGGAAGGUGGGGAUGACGUCAAAUCAUCAUGCCCCUUAUGACCUGGGCUACACACGUGCUACAAUGGAUGGUACAACGAGUUGCGAACUCGCGAGAGUAAGCUAAUCUCUUAAAGCCAUUCUCAGUUCGGAUUGUAGGCUGCAACUCGCCUACAUGAAGUCGGAAUCGCUAGUAAUCGCGGAUCAGCAUGCCGCGGUGAAUACGUUCCCGGGCCUUGUACACACCGCCCGUCACACCAUGAGAGUUUGUAACACCCAAAGUCGGUGGGGUAACCUUUUAGGAACCAGCCGCCUAAGGUGGGACAGAUGAUUAGGGUGAAGUCGUAACA